AUUGGACGCUGGCGGCAUGCCUUACACAUGCAAGUCGAACGGUAACAGGUCUUCGGAUGCUGACGAGUGGCGAACGGGUGAGUAAUACAUCGGAACGUGCCCGAUCGUGGGGGAUAACGAAGCGAAAGCUUUGCUAAUACCGCAUACGAUCUACGGAUGAAAGCGGGGGAUCUUCGGACCUCGCGCGGACGGAGCGGCCGAUGGCAGAUUAGGUAGUUGGUGGGAUAAAAGCUUACCAAGCCGACGAUCUGUAGCUGGUCUGAGAGGAUGAUCAGCCACACUGGGACUGAGACACGGCCCAGACUCCUACGGGAGGCAGCAGUGGGGAAUUUUGGACAAAGGGCGCAAGCCUGAUCCAGCCAUGCCGCGUGCAGGAUGAAGGCCUUCGGGUUGUAAACUGCUUUUGUACGGAACGAAAAGGUGCCUUCUAAUAAAGGGCGCUCAUGACGGUACCGUAAGAAUAAGCACCGGCUAACUACGUG
rnacentral:rRNA from 1 species